GAUGAACGCUGGCGGCGUGCCUAAUACAUGCAAGUCGAGCGAACAGAUGAGGAGCUUGCUCCUCUGACGUUAGCGGCGGACGGGUGAGUAACACGUGGAUAACCUCCCUAUAAGACUGGGAUAACUUCGGGAAACCGGAGCUAAUACCGGAUAAUAUAUUGAACCGCAUGGGUCAAUAGUGAAAGUCGGUUUUGCUGUCACUUAUAGCUGGAUCUGCGCCGCAUUAGCUAGUUGGUAAGGUAACGGCUUACCAAGGCAAGGAUGCGUAGCCGACCUGAGAGGGGGAUAGGCCACACGAGAACGGGGACACGGUCCAGGCGCCUGCGGGAGGGAGCAGAAGGGAAUCUUCCGCAGUGGGCGAAAGCCUGACAGAGCAACGCCGAGUGAGUGAUGAAGGUCUUCGGAUCGUAAAACUCUGUUAUUAGGGAAAAACAAAUGUGUAAGUAACUGUGCACGUCGUGACGGUACCUAAUCAGAAAGCCACGGCUAACUACGUG
rnacentral:rRNA from 1 species